CGCAGGGCUGCCUGGCCUCCCGGACUCCUGUUCCACAGUUCCGGAAUGAGCGCUGGCCGGGGCCUCCUGGAGCUGGGAGGAAGGCGUAGCUGGCGAUCUCUCUCUCUCUCUCUCUCUCUCUCUCUCUCUCUCUCUCCUCUUCCCUCCCCCCUUGGUGUUUCUUCCAGAUCAGCCUCCUUCUCAUUCCAUCUCUACGUGCCCAGAGCUUCAAAUACAGUCCUCCCAUCACAGUCAGAUUCCCACAAAACUUCAAUCAGCUGCUUCUCCUGGAAGAGAACCUGGAUGGGAGGAAGCUGGGAGGUGGGAAAGAAGAGGUGUGGAGCUAGCUGCAUCUGGCCUGGACUCCAGUUCUGCUGCCUAUUUGCUGUGUGGUCCCAUGCAAGGAUUUGACCUCUCUGAGCUCAGCCUCAUCUAAAGGUGUAAUCUCGCACUUCCGUAAGUGGCCACGGAUACGGAGGCCUGUUUUGUCUCCACUGUGCUGAUUGUUGCAGACUGACACACUCUCACUAAUGAUCUGAAGUAUAUCUCCUGCCUGACUUUCUUCUCUGGAUGUCCAAUCCUGUCUCUUGUCCCUUGUG